GCGGAAGUAGCUCAGUCGGUAGAGCGCAACCUUGCCAAGGUUGAGGUCGCGGGUUCGACCCCCGUCUUCCGCUCCA
rnacentral:tRNA from 2 species